GCUUACGGCUAUACCAGCCCAAGAACGCCCGGUCUCAUCUGAUCUUGGUCUCGUCUGAUCUCGGAAGCUAAGAAGGCUUGGGCCUGGUUAGUACUUGGAUGGGAGAACUCCUGGGAAUACCAGGUGCUGUAAGCU
ensembl:rRNA 5S_rRNA 5S ribosomal RNA